AGUUAAUGUUAGCUGUUAAUAGUAUGAGCUAAUGAUAGGUUUAGUCUUCAAAUGGACGUGAGAUAUAAAUUAAACAUUUGACAUUAUCUCAUUCAAGAGCAUUCAUUCAUUCAUUCAACAAACAUGUUUGCCAACUAAAAAUAUAUUAUAUGUUUAUUAAAAAAAAAAGGAUGGGCUUAAAAAAAAACAAAAAACAUGUUUGCCAACUUAUUUUUUGUCAAGUAUUUAUUAAGCACCAAGGUGCAGGGAGAAAGAUGAAUAAAAUAUGGUUAGUACCUUCUCUUAAGAUGCUCAUAUCCUAGUGAGGAAAUGGAUAAUAUUUUAAAGUGAAGCAUUUUGUCAUUUUAGUCAAAACUUUUUUGUAAGAGCCGAUUCAAGUUUAGAAAACAGGAAUGCAAUUUAAUCCUACCUUAGGAUAUUUCUCCUAUAAUCCAGCUAUAAGACAGUACUGAAUACUUUUUGUUGCAUCAAGUAUUACAGGUAGUACUUGACUUUUGACUCCUAGUAAAGUCCAGUAUUUUAAUCCUUACCCACCAGCACCCAGGAAUAUAAUAUUGUAGCUAUUUUAUAUUGAAAUGCAGUGACAAGUUUCAGGGUGAAUUUUUACAAAAAAAAUUCAUCCUUCCUUCCUAUUUUUAUCAGUUUUUCUCUGGCUUGAUUUCUGAAGCACUUGAAAUGUUGAUAUAAGUAACUCUCAAUGUUUUUGGAUUUUCUGUAGUUCAUAGCAGUUAAUGACUUUAUUUGGGUUUAUCUAUACAAAAGUAAUCUUGAGUUAAAUAAACAUUAUAUAUACUGUUUGUAACAGUACAUUGUCAUGUACUUGAUUAUGUUCUCUGGUUUUUCCUUGUAUCUAUAUGAUGCAUAUCCCAAACUAAUUUCUAAGUUUCUCAGAAGCAGACAUUGCAUUCUAUUCUUCAGUACCAUUGUCUUAUUGAAUAACAUAAUGUUGUUUAGUAAUUGCCUAUUACAUGAAUGGUUAAAGGAAAAAAAAGUUAAAAAAAAAUGAAGAAUCUAAUUUUAAAGAUCUCAGUGUCCCAGCUGAGUUACAGGACAAAGAAAGUAUGUCCACAGCAAAGCAGAGAUAUUACCUGUCAACUCUUUUGCUUUAGUUAAAAAAGCUGCUUACAGCUAUGGUUAUAAAUUAAAAGAUUCUAAGAAAACCUUCUGUACUCAUACUUUUAAGGAGAUUUAGAGGACUUAAUAUCCCUCAGUAAAAUAAAUACCAAAAAUUUACAUUUUAAAUCUCUUUCCCCUAAUACAUCAAAUUAAUGUAAAAUACAAAUUAUUUAUUUUAGUAAAUGCAAGACUUCUUUUUGGCCUACAAAAGCCUAAAUUAACUGGAAUUUCCUAACCAAUACAGGUUAUGUGGUUACCCCUACAAAGAUUUAGGAUUACUUAAACAAACACAGGUGAACUAAAUCAAGUUGUGAUUAAAUAACCAAUGUCUCUCUUUAUAUAUAUUUAAACCUCAGACAAUACUGCAAAUUAUGUGACUCUACUGAAUACUCCUUUGCUAUUUGGUAAAGUUUCAAUAAUCUGUAGUUUCCUUAAGAAACUUCUAAAGACAUUAAAAUUCAGAUAUGGAAAGAAAUAAGAAGUACCUAACCACUAUAUCAUUCCUAUGUAUGUGUGUGUGUGUGUUUUGAAGAUUUUAUUUAUUUAUUUAUUUAACAGAGAGAGAGAUCACAAGUAGGCAGAGAGGCAGGCAGGGUGGGGGAGCAGAUUCCCUGCUGAGCAGAGAGCCCGAUGCGGGGCUCAAUCAAAGGACCCUGAGAUCUGCUUGACCUGAGCCGAAGGAAGAGGCUUAACUCACUGAGCCAUCCAAUUCCUAUGUGUUUUCAACCUAAGUCUCUCUCACUAUAUAUAAACACAUUUAUCCUUUAGAACACUCAAAUUAGGAUGAAAUCAGUGUGUACUUUUAAAGUACUUGAUAAAAUUAUUUUAUUUAUUUUUA
rnacentral:lncRNA from 1 species